rnacentral:rRNA from 1 species
ACUUUUACAGAUUUCUUCGGAAUGAAGUUUUAGCGACUGAGUGGCGGACGGGUGAGUAACGCGUGGGUAACCUGCCUUACAGAGGGGGAUAACGUCUGGAAACGGACGCUAAUACCGCAUGACAUAUAGUUACCGCAUGGUAAAGAUAUCAAAGGAGCAAUCCGCUGUAAGAUGGACUCGCGUCCGAUUAGCUAGUUGGAGGGGUAACGGCCCACCAAGGCGACGAUCGGUAGCCGGACUGAGAGGUCGAACGGCCACAUUGGGACUGAGACACGGCCCAGACUCC